GGGGCUGUGGCGCAGCGGCAGAGCAGCUGCUUGGAAUGCAGAAGGUCCCAGGUUCGAUUCCUGGGAGCUCCA
rnacentral:tRNA from 1 species